GGGGAACUAACCCUUAACGGUAAGGGAGCUGUCUUGAAAACGAGUAGACGAGAAAUCGGUGUCUCAGUUCGAAUCUGAGGUUCUCCGCCA
rnacentral:tRNA from 1 species